GAUGAACGCUGGCGGCGUGCCUAAUACAUGCAAGUCGAGCGAACGGACGAGAAGCUUGCUUCUCUGAUGUUGGCGGCGGACGGGUGAGUAACACGUGGAUAACCUACCUAUAAGACUGGGAUAACUUCGGGAAACCGGAGCUAAUACCGGAUAAUAUUUUGAACCGCAUGGUUCAAAAGUGAAAGACGGUCUUGCUGUCACUUAUAGAUGGAUCCGCGCUGCAUUAGCUAGUUGGUAAGGUAACGGCUUACCAAGGCAACGAUGCAUAGCCGACCUGAGAGGGUGAUCGGCCACACUGGAACUGAGACACGGUCCAGACUCCUACGGGAGGCAGCAGUAGGGAAUCUUCCGCAAUGGGCGAAAGCCUGACGGAGCAACGCCGCGUGAGUGAUGAAGGUCUUAGGAUCGUAAAACUCUGUUAUUAGGGAAGAACAUAUGUGUAAGUAACUGUGCACAUCUUGACGGUACCUAAUCAGAAAGCCACGGCUAACUACGUG
rnacentral:rRNA from 1 species